UGAAGUAAAGUUAACUUCAUCGUUUUACCACUAGGAGGAGCUGUCGCAUUGGUAAUGCUAAAAGUAAUUUGCUUGGUGCGCAGUUAAUUUGUAUAAAUAUUGUUUUUAUUUUCCUAAUAUUGUAAAGUGCUUAUUAGGCCAAGGUAAUGCAUACUAGUGAUAAUAAUUGGGUUUAAACUAAUAUAAAAAUUGUAAAUGCUAAGUCAUGUGAGAGGGCACGGCCAGGUUACUUCCUGUUUUGUUGCUAAGCUAAAGAGAAGCAGCCGACACGGCAGACAAGGCUCCCGACCGAGUGUUAAAUAAAAGUAUAAAAGAAAAGAAAUAAGCAACUUCCCAAGUUCACACCGUUUGCUCACUUAGCAGGCCAAAGUGUUCUACGGUGUACUCUGUGAUGUUAAAGCCUCAAGAAAGUCACAGUAAAACAUCAGUAAAAGAAAAGAA